UGUGCCCAUGUCGGAGGGUGGUGAAAGAGGAGUGGGUGCAGCAGCACACGAUAGACCGCUUAUGGGUACAGCUGUUGCAGGCCGUGUCGGGUCCCGUGUUGACACGGACCCCGACACGGCGCCAGCACAACCCCGGGACUCUGUCCGUACAUAAAGAUCCUCGUUCGUUUUUUGUUUAUUUUAUUUUUUAUUUUUAUUAUAAAUAUCUUUUUUCUUUCUGGGAGGCGUUCCUUUUCACACAAAAACACAGUCCCACCACCUAUUGGCGUGCGCAGCAGUUGGAAUCCCGAUAUAUGACACGUCGAAACAAAUUACAGUUCGUCUUCGUUUGUCGGCAAUAGCAAAACGCGUUCGAGUGACGACCGGAAGAAUAUUUAUCUACGUCGGAACGGAAUCAAAAGAGCCAGUGUAUGUGUCGUUAACAGUCAAGUAUUUUCAAUUGUGAAUAUACAUUCAAAUUUAUAUACAACACAUUUUUAAUAUUUCCAUUUGAAAUUUCUGUUUACCGUCGGCUUUUGUUGUUCCCACAGUUCCAUAGGCCUAUAGGCGUAUACAGAAACGAUAUUAAAUUGGUGAGUUUCUACGUGCAUUGCCUGGCUCGGUAAAAAACCAGCAAACAACUCUCCAAAAAUAAGACAAGGUUAUCAUGAAUCACUCACGUGUGAGAAACCUCUCGCAUUUCAUUCGUCUUGCAUAUUGAUUGUUUUGUUUUUUUGUUUUUUUGUUUUUUUCACUUUUCUUUCUAAUUCAUUCAAUUUUUUCAGCGGUUCAAAGUGAUUGCACCAUUAUAUACCAACCCAACCUAGUAAUAUAGGCCUAAUAUACAUGCUGUGGAAAGGCAA